AACGCUGGCGGCGUGCCUAAUACAUGCAAGUCGAACGCUUCUUUUUCCACCGGAAGCUUGCUCCACCGGAAAAAGAAGAGUGGCGAACGGGUGAGUAACACGUGGGUAACCUGCCCAUCAGAAGGGGAUAACACUUGGAAACAGGUGCUAAUACCGUAUAACAAUCAAAACCGCAUGGUUUUGAUUUGAAAGGCGCUUUCGGGUGUCGCUGAUGGAUGGACCCGCGGUGCAUUAGCUAGUUGGUGAGGUAACGGCUCACCAAGGCCACGAUGCAUAGCCGACCUGAGAGGGUGAUCGGCCACAUUGGGACUGAGACACGGCCCAAACUCCUACGGGAGGCAGCAGUAGGGAAUCUUCGGCGAUGGACGAAAGUCUGACCGAGCAACGCCGCGUGAGUGAAGAAGGUUUUCGGAUCGUAAAACUCUGUUGUUAGAGAAGAACAAGGAUGAGAGUAACUGUUCAUCCCUUGACGGUAUCUAACCAGAAAGCCACGGCUAACUACGUGCCAGCAGCCGCGGUAAUACGUAGGUGGCAAGCGUUGUCCGGAUUUAUUGGGGCGUAAAGCGAGCGCAGGCGGUUUCUUAAGUCUGAUGUGAAAGCCCCCGGCUCAACCGGGGGAG
rnacentral:rRNA from 1 species